rnacentral:ncRNA from 1 species
GCCUCUAAGGUCGUAUCCGUGCUGGACUGCAAUGAUAAAUAAGGGGCAAUUUGCAUUGUAUGGCUUCUAAACCAUUUAAAGUUUAUUAUUUAUAUUUUAAACGACAAUGGAUGUGAUGCCAAUGUAAUUUGUAACAUAGUAAAUUGGGAGGAUCUUUGAUCACCUGGUGCCAUGCUAGUUACAUAUGAAAACAUUAUUUAAUACAAUGACAAAGCCUAGAAUCAAUUGUAAACGACUUUUGUAACGGGCAAGGUGUUGUAAGUGGUUGAGCAGCUGCCAUACUGCGAUCCACUGAAGCUUAUCCUUUGCUUGAUGAUUCGA